rnacentral:rRNA from 1 species
AAGACCUUAUGCUUUUGGAGCGGCCGAUGUCUGAUUAGCUAGUUGGUAAGGUAAUGGCUUACCAAGGCGACGAUCAGUAGUUGGUCUGAGAGGACGACCAGCCACACUGGGACUGAGACACGGCCCAGACUCCUACGGGAGGCAGCAGUGGGGAAUUUUGGACAAUGGGCGCAAGCCUGAUCCAGCAAUGCCGCGUGAGUGAAGAAGGCCUUCGGGUUGUAAAGCUCUUUCAGUCGAGAAGAAAAGAUUACUGAUAAUACCAGUAAUCCAUGACGGUAUCGACAGAAGAAGCACCGGCUAACUACGUGCCAGCAGCCGCGGUAAUACGUAGGGUGCGAGCGUUAAUCGGAAUUACUGGGCGUAAAGGGUGCGCAGGCGGUUAUGUAAGUCAGAUGUGAAAUCCCCGGGCUUAACCUGGGAACU